AAUGUGGGAAAAUGAACCUAGGCACACAAAAUCUACGCAUAUUGUUCGUUAUUAUUUCCAUAGCGUAGCUCGCGGUUUAAAAUAAAAAAGAACAAUUAUCACGAUGAUAACAUUUCGCAUCACAAGUUUCCAACCAAUAUCGAUGCGCGGGAUAGAUGGCUAAAUGCCA
rnacentral:lncRNA from 1 species